rnacentral:rRNA from 1 species
UACGUAGGGGGCUAGCGUUGUCCGGAAUCAUUGGGCGUAAAGAGCGCGUAGGCGGCCAGAUAAGUCCGGUGUGAAAGUCACAGGCUCAACCUGUGAAUGCCGCUGGAAACUGUCUGGCUAGAGUCCGGAAGGGGCGAGUGGAAUUCCUGGUGUAGCGGUGAAAUGCGCAGAUAUCAGGAGGAACACCGGUGGCGAAGGCGGCUACCUGGACAGAAACUGACGCUGAGGCGCGAAAGCUAGGGGAGCAAACAGG